rnacentral:rRNA from 1 species
CCUACGGGGGACAGCAGUGAGGAAUAUUGGUCAAUGGGCGGGACCCUGAACCAGCCAAGCCGCGUGAGGGAAGAAGGUACAGCGUAUCGUAAACCUCUUUUGUCAGGGAACAAAGGCGGGGACUAGUCCCCGGAUGAGGGUACCUGAAGAAAAAGCAUCGGCUAACUCCGUGCCAGCAGCCGCGGUAAUACGGAGGAUGCGAGCGUUAUCCGGAUUUAUGGGGUUUAAAGGGUGCGCAGGCGGCCUGUUAAGUCAGCGGUAAAAGCCCGGGGCUCAACCCCGGCGAGCCGUUGAAACUGGCGGGCUGGAGUUGGAGAGAAGUACGCGGAAUGCGCGGUGUAGCGGUGAAAUGCUUAGAUAUCGCGCAGAACCCCGAUUGCGAAGGCAGCGUACCGGCUCCACACUGACGCUGAGGCACGAAAGCGUGGGUAUCGAACAGGAUUAGAUACCCUAGUAGUC